CUACGGGACGCUCCAGUAGGGAAUCUUAGACAAUGGGGGAAACCCUGAUCUAGCCAUGCCGCGUGAGUGAUGAAGGCCUUAGGGUUGUAAAGCUCUUUCGCUGGGGAAGAUAAUGACGGUACCCAGUAAAGAAACCCCGGCUAACUCCGUGCCAGCAGCCGCGGUAAUACGGAGGGGGUCAGCGUUGUUCGGAAUUACUGGGCGUAAAGCGCGCGUAGGCGGGCUAUUAAGUCAGGGGUGAAAUCCCGGGGCUCAACCCCGGAACUGCCUUUGAUACUGGUAGUCUUGAGUUCGAGAGAGGUGAGUGGAAUUCCGAGUGUAGAGGUGAAAUUCGUAGAUAUUCGGAGGAACAUCAGUGGCGAAGGCGACUCACUGGCUCGAUACUGACGCUGAGGUGCGAAAGUGUGGGGAGCAAACAGGAUUAGAUACCCGCGUAGUC
rnacentral:rRNA from 1 species